AGUGAACGCUGGCGGUAGGCCUAACACAUGCAAGUCGAACGGCAGCACAGUAAGAGCUUGCUCUUACGGGUGGCGAGUGGCGGACGGGUGAGGAAUACAUCGGAAUCUACUUUUUCGUGGGGGAUAACGUAGGGAAACUUACGCUAAUACCGCAUACGACCUACGGGUGAAAGCAGGGGAUCUUCGGACCUUGCGCGAUUGAAUGAGCCGAUGUCGGAUUAGCUAGUUGGCGGGGUAAAGGCCCACCAAGGCGACGAUCCGUAGCUGGUCUGAGAGGAUGAUCAGCCACACUGGAACUGAGACACGGUCCAGACUCCUAAGGGAGGCAGCAGUGGGGAAUAUUGGACAAUGGGCGCAAGCCUGAUCCAGCCAUACCGCGUGGAUGAAGAAGGCCUUCGGGUUGUAAAGCCCUUUUGUUGGGAAAGAAAAGCAGCAGGUUAAUACCCCGCUGUUCUGACGGUACCCAAAGAAUAAGCACCGGCUAACUUCGUG
rnacentral:rRNA from 1 species